CCCCAAGCUUCUGAAGGCAGUGAAAGAACCAAGAGGGCUUCCUCUGCUGAUCUUAACACUGAAGGAGGUCUGUAGAGAAAGAGGCAGCCUUUCAGGUAUUUCCUCACUAGGUGUCUUUCUCCUUCCAUUUUCUCCCCCGAGUAGCACGCCAUCUUCUCAUGCCAUCAUUCUACUUCUAUCUUAUACCCUCCAAGAUUUCUCCAAUGAAAAUAGGGAUGUCCCAUUCUGAAUAUUAGUUCAAAAUACAUUUGUACAAGCAAGGAUGGAAGAAACUGGAUUAUAAAUAUGGAAUAUAACAUUAAACAGAACUGUGUGUAAAGAAAGGAAAAAGGGAGAGAAGCUCUAUUUUGGAUGGAAACUUGGAGCUGACUCCUUCCCAUCCUUUAUUAUUUACAAAGUGAACUGAAUUACGCUAAGGGAACUUGGGAUUUAAUUUAAUUGGAAGUGUAAUUGCUUAUAUAUCUGCAGUUGGAAGGAAGGAUGAAAGGAGUCCGUGAACUGCCAGGAACAGAUAGGGUUCUUUGUUGAGUCAUCUGCAGUUCCACAGACAGCUCUUCUUCCCAGGCUGAGAGGAAAAAUUGUGACAACAGGUAGUAUUUACUGAGGCAGUGACUUUGGCAGCUGUUGUUAAAGUUGCAAAACAACGAAGCAUGGGACAGAACAACUGAGAAAUUUCUGGAACAACAAUGGGAUAUCACCUCCGCCCAAGGCAUGACGGAUAACAGCAACAACCGGGGGAAAGAAAGACAUAACAUCUUACAAGGACAGGAAGAAACACAACGGACAGAAUAAUUGCCACACACAGGAAGAACAAGGAUAUAAUCUGAGUUCCUCACUUGUAGUUUUAUAAAUCAUUUAAUGUGCCAACACAAAUAGAAGUUAUUAAUAUUGCAGUUGUUGUAUGAGGGAUUACUGCUAUGACCAGAAGGUAAUUGAAAUUAAUAAGAUUUUGGAACGCAGAAAUAAAGAAAAUCCUCAAAUCUGGUAUGCGGGGGGCCACUUUAUCUAAAUUAUAUAAUUCAGUAUUUGAACGAUCAGUAUUAAUUGUAUUAUAAAUUGGUGUUGUUAUAAUGAGGCUAUGAUUGGACUGUAAUUGAAAACUAAUAAAAAAAUUAUUAAAAGAAAUUAAAUAAAAUGAUCUUAUG